AAAGCUCAAACGAGGAAGAUAACACCUUGGUUCAUCAUUUAAAACCAAGUGUUGCAAAGAAAAUGAAGACCAAGAAAGGCAAGUUUAUGGUUGAUUUGAUGAUAGCCAGAACAGGUAAGAAGGCUGCUGCUGUAGGUCCUUCUAAAUCAUGGAGUAAAGUGGAAGUCAAGAAAAGAAAGGCCAGAGAAAGUUCUGACUCCGAAGAUGAUGUCGAAGACGAUGUCCUAGACAUCUCUACUACUAAAAGGCAAUCUGUUAGAAAAUCUCCUGUUAAG
rnacentral:lncRNA from 1 species